AACGUACGCUGCGGCACGCCUAACACAUGCAAGUCGAACGAAGUAGCAAUACUUAGUGGCAGACGGGUGAGUAACAUGUAGGUAUCUGCCCUUUGGCCUGGAAUAACACGAGGAAACUUGUGCUAAUACCGGAUAAGUCUUUACGGAGAAAGCUUUAUGCACCAUUGGAUGAGCCUGCACUUGAUUAGUUUGUUGGUGGGGUAAUGGCCUACCAAGACUGUGAUCAAUAGCUGAUUUGAGAGGAUGAUCAGCCACAUUGGGACUGAGACACGGCCCAAACUCCUACGGGAGGCAGCAGUGGGGAAUCUUGCACAAUGGAGGAAACUCUGAUGCAGCGAUGCCGCGUGAGUGAAGAAGGCCCUUGGGUUGUAAAGCUCUUUCGUCGGGGAAGAAAAUGACUGUACCCGAAUAAGAAGGUCCGGCUAACUUCGUGCCAGCAGCCGCGGUAAUACGAAGGGACCUAGCGUAGUUCGGAAUUACUGGGCUUAAAGAGUUCGUAGGUGGUUGAAAAAGUUAGUGGUGAAAUCCCAGAGCUUAACUCUGGAACUGCCAUUAAAACUUUUCAGCUAGAGUAUGAUAGAGGAAAGCAGAAUUUCUAGUGUAGAGGUGAAAUUCGUAGAUAUUAGAAAGAAUACCAAUUGCGAAGGCAGCUUUCUGGAUCAUUACUGA
rnacentral:rRNA from 1 species